UGCGACCUCAGGUUAGGUGAGACUACCCGCUAAAUUUAAGCAUAUUAAUAACG
rnacentral:rRNA from 1 species